rfam:Chaetomium globosum CBS 148.51 scaffold_4 genomic scaffold, whole genome shotgun sequence.
UUAGCUCUCUUUGCCUUUUGGCUUAGAUCAAGUGUAGUAUCUGUUCUUUUCAGUUUAAUCUCUGAAACUGCUCUACGGAGUAGAUUUAUUUGAUUAAAUUAAUUUUUGUCCCUCGGGACUCAGUCCACUCGGCUUGCCGAGCCUGAAUCCCACCGUGUCUCCAGUAUCACACUGCCUCUGGACGACGCAAACCACU